GGGGGGAGAAGUGGGUGGAGGGGAAUUAAGGAGAAGUUUUAAGGGGUUUUUGGUAAAUUCAAGAUUUUGCUGAGGAGGAGGGGUAUUAUGGGUAUUUUUGUUUGCGGUGGCGGGGCGGCGGAGAUGGGCGGAGGAGGUGGGUUUUUCAGGGGAGUUAGAGGAGGAUUUAAGGGAGAGGGUGGUGGUGGGGGUAGGGGUGUGGGGGUGGUGUUUGAAGGGGAGGAUGGAGGUGGUGAAGGGUGGUGGAGAGGGAGAGUAGUGUGAGGUAGAGGAGAGGGACAAGAUAAUGUUGUCCAUUAUCAUCAUCAAAACCCCCUACCGUGAGUGUGUUGAGAGUUCAUGAUGUUAACACAAGCAGCUCAGGGGUAAUUUUGGUAAUUGACCUUUUAUUUUUGUAGCACUCCAUUGAUUUGCCUAAAUUUACUGUCAAAUAACUCGACCUUCGUUUUGAAUUUAAGUACAUAUGAAUUUGUCUUUCGAGUUACGCCAUACAAUUCACGGGUGUGCAUACUAUACAAACUUGAGUUUUGUCGUAUAAAGGUCUUUUACUAUUCUUUUUAUUUCGGUAUGAGAUUUGCC
rnacentral:lncRNA from 1 species